rnacentral:rRNA from 1 species
UACGUAGGUGGCGAGCGUUGUCCGGAUUUACUGGGCGUAAAGAGCGCGCAGGCGGUCGUACAAGUCGCGUGUGAAAGCCCCCGGCUCAACUGGGGAGGGUCACGCGAUACUGUUCGACUCGAAGGCAGGAGAGGGUAGUGGAAUUCCCGGUGUAGUGGUGAAAUGCGUAGAUAUCGGGAGGAACACCAGUGGCGAAGGCGACUACCUGGCCUGUCCUUGACGCUGAGGCGCGAAAGCUAGGGUAGCAAACGGG